CACUGUCCACAACCAUCAACACCACCCCAACCACCGUCAACCCCCACCAGCACCACCACACGCCCCACCGUCUCCCCUCUCUUCUCCCAUGAAUUCCCGUACUCCCUCCCCUGUUUCUUUUUCUCUUUCCUUGCUCGCACCACCAACAACAACCACGACAACCACCACCACCUCCAGCCACCUUCAUCACCUUUUCCAAUCAACCACCGUCCCAAAAUAACUCGACGAGACGCCCUACCUCCGCCCAGAAACACCCCAGAAUUUCCCCUGUUUUCGCCCACUUCGUGCCUCAAUUUCUCGCUCCCUCGCUGUUCUCCCGCUGCCAAACCACCGCCAUCACCGUCGACCUCCGGCGUCGAGUCACCCCAGCCACCCUCACUUCCUCUCCUCCUCCCUUCGUACUCCCCUGUGUGGCCGUGCACCCCCUCCCCCCUGCUCGUGCCCUUCUCCCAGGAACCAAAAACAAGAAACUCAAUUUUUAAAACUUUGGUUUUUAUUUUUUUACAUUCAAACCCAAUUUAAGGUUGGGCCAAUUGAAUUGGGCCUUUGAAAUUGGACUCGGAGCUCAAGACGAACGAACCAAGGAAAAUCCUUAGCAAAAUCGUAGAAGUGAGGUACUGCUGGAAACGAUGGGAACGAGUAGUGGCGAGGAUUUCACUUUAAUAAUUUCC